rnacentral:lncRNA from 1 species
GGGGUCCCGGGCGUGGGGCCCCCCCCCGGCCACCGCCUCGGCCAGCAUGCGGAUGGCGCGGGCACCCAGCGCGCCCAGCGGCACCCCGGGGCUGAGCGGCGCCCGCCCGCCGCCCGCCGCCAGCACGAAGCAGGGCUCGGCGAAAUGGGGCUGGGGGCGCAGGCAGGCGCUGGGACCCACGCCGGGGGGGCCGGGCGUGCGGCUGCCGGGCGGGAAGAGCGUGAUGCUCUUGGUGGCCUCGGUCAUGGGGAUGAUGAACUCGGCGCUCAUGGAGGCGCGGGCGCGCUGCGCGGCGUCGAGGUGCAUGGCCAGCAGCAGGUCGUAGUAGCCGGCGCGCAGCGGCCCCGGCAGCUCGGGGCUCUCGAUGGCGAAGAGGAGCUGCGCCUGGUCCACGUGGCUGCAGAGCGCGUGCGCCACGCGGUUGUUGCCCAGGGCGCAGACGGCGCAGUAGAGCUUCAGCGUGUGCCACUGGAAGCGCAGCAGGUCCAGGCGCUCCGACAGCUCCAUGAUGUCGAUGCACCUUUGGGGGGCGGGGGGGGGACGGGGGGGCACGGUGAGGGGGUGGUGUUUGGGGACCCCCAGGGAUGGGGUGCAUUGGGGUGGGAUGCUUGGGGAUCACAGGGAUGGGUGGGGUGCUUGGGGAUCCCAUGGAUAAGGGCACCUUGGGGUGGGACACCAGUGGACAGGACACGUGGGGACCCCAGGGAUGGGAUGUGUGGGGUCCCAAGGACAGGGACACCAGUGGAGAGGACAUUUGGGGACCCCAUGGAUAGGGGAACUUUGGGGUGGGACACUUGGGGACCCCAGGGGUGGGACAAGUGGGGUCCCAAGCGCAGGGACACCAGCAGAUGGGACAUUUGGGGACCCCAUAGACAAGGACACCUUGGGGUAGGACACUUGGGACCCCAGAGAUGGGACACCGCAGGUCCCAAGGACAGGGUCACCUGGGGUCCCCAGGGAUGGGGUACAUUGGGGUGGGACACUUGGGGACCCCAGGAAUGGGACACUUGGGGUCCUAAGGACAGGGACACCAGUGGAGAGGACAUUUGGGGACCCCAGCAAUAGGACACUUGGGGACCCCAUGGAUAGGG